rnacentral:rRNA from 1 species
UUACUUCGGUACAUCGGUGACAGGUGGUGCAUGGUUGUCGUCAGCUCGUGUCGUGAGAUGUUGGGUUAAGUCCCGCAACGAGCGCAACCCCUAUUGUUAGUUGCCAUCAUUAAGUUGGGCACUCUAACGAGACUGCCGGUGAUAAACCGGAGGAAGGUGGGGAUGACGUCAAAUCAUCAUGCCCCUUAUGACCUGGGCUACACACGUGCUACAAUGGAUGGUACAACGAGUCGCGAGACAGUGAUGUUUAGCUAAUCUCUUAAAACCAUUCUCAGUUCGGAUUGUAGGCUGCAACUCGCCUACAUGAAGUCGGAAUCGCUAGUAAUCGCGGAUCAGCACGCCGCGGUGAAUACGUUCCCGGGCCUUGUACACACCGCCCGUCACACCACGGGAGUUGGGAGUACCCGAAGUAGGUUGCCUAACCGCAAGGAGGGCGCUUCCUAAGGUAAGACCGAUGACUGGGGUGAAGUCGUAACAAGGUAGCCGUAUCGGAAGGUGCGGCUGGAUCACCUCCUUU